rnacentral:rRNA from 1 species
AACGAACGCUGGCGGCGUGCCUAACACAUGCAAGUCGAACGAGAAAGGGGCUUCGGCUCCGUGUAAAGUGGCGCACGGGUGAGUAACACGUGGGUAACCUGCCUCUAAGAUUGGGAUAACUCGUCGAAAGAUGAGCUAAUACCGAAUAAGACCACAGUUCCCGCGGGAACAGGGGUCAAAGGUAGCCUCUGCUUGCAAGCUAUCACUUAGAGAUGGGCCUGCGGACCAUUAGCUAGUUGGUAGGGUAACGGCCUACCAAGGGAAAGAUGGUUAGCUGGUCUGAGGGGAUGGUCAGCCACACUGGAACUGAGACACGGGCCAGACUCCUAAGGGAGGCAGCAGUGGGGAAUAUUGCGCAAUGGGCGAAAGCUUGACGCAGCAAAGCCGCGUGAGGGAUGAAGGCCUUCGGGUCGUAAAGCUCUGUCGGGAGGGACGAAAGCUCCUGAGGUUAACAGCCUCGGGAGGUGACGGUACCUACAAAGGAAGCACCGGCUAACUCUGUG